UACGUAGGGGGCAAGCGUUGUCCGGAAUUAUUGGGCGUAAAGGGCGCGUAGGCGGCCUACUAAGUCAGACGUGAAAUCCCCCGGCUUAACCUGGGAACUGCGUCUGAUACUGGAAGGCUUGAGGAUGGGAGAGGGAUGUAGAAUUCCAGGUGUAGCGGUGAAAUGCGUAGAUAUCUGGAGGAAUACCGGUGGCGAAGGCGGCAUCCUGGACCAUUACUGACGCUGAGGCGCGAAAAGCUAGGGGGAGCGAACAGG
rnacentral:rRNA from 1 species